AUACAUACCUGGUGCCGGGGGGCCUCGUUGAUCCCCGAGGACAAGCCCCCAGGGCGAGGCGCUGGGAUAUUGCACUGCGCUUGCGUUGACUUCUGCCACUCCCCCAAACUGGGGCAGAUGGGGUACACAAAUUGCUUAAAUCCGGUUCAAUGCAAGAGAGGGGGCCGCCGCCUCAGCAAGCGCCCGGU
rnacentral:snRNA from 1 species